GGGGAUAUAGCUCAGUGCCAUAGUGCCUGCCUGGCAAGCAGGAGGCCCUAAGUUCCAUCCCCA
rnacentral:tRNA from 1 species